rnacentral:rRNA from 1 species
AUUGAACGCUGGCGGCAGGCCUAACACAUGCAAGUCGAACGAGUGGCGGACGGGUGAGUAAUGCUUGGGAAUCUAGCUUAUGGAGGGGGAUAACUACGGGAAACUGUAGCUAAUACCGCAUACCAUCGGAUGAGCCCAAGUGGGUUUAGGUUGUUGGUGGGGUAAAGGCUCACCAAGGCGACGAUCUCUAGCUGGUCUGAGAGGAUGACCAGCCACACUGGAACUGAGACACGGUCCAGACUCCUACGGGAGGCAGCAGUGGGGAAUAUUGCACAAUGGGGGCAAGCCUGACGCAGCCAUGCCGCGUGAAUGAAGAAGGCCUUCGGGUUGUAAAGUACUUUCAGCGGGGAGGCGUUACCCGCAGAAGAAGCACCGGCUAACUCCGUGCCAGCAGCCGCGGUAAUAC